GUACAGGAUAGGUGGGAGCCUAGGAAACCUGAGCGCCAGCUUGGGUGGAGGCGCCGUUGGGAUACCACCCUGAUCGUAUCUAGGUUCUAACCUGGUGCCCUCAUCGGGUACAGGGACCGUGUCAGGUGGGCAGUUUGACUGGGGCGGUCGCCUCCUAAAGAGUAACGGAGGCGCCCCAAGGUUCCCUCAGAAUGGUUGGAAAUCAUUCGAAGAGUGCAAAGGCAUAAGGGAGCUUGACUGCGAGACCCACAAGUCGAGCAGGGACGAAAGUCGGGCUUAGUGAUCCGGUGGUACCGCAUGGAAGGGCCAUCGCUCAACGGAUAAAAGCUACCCUGGGGAUAACAGGCUUAUCUCCCCCAAGAGUCCACAUCGACGGGGAGGUUUGGCACCUCGAUGUCGGCUCAUCGCAUCCUGGGGCUGAAGUAGGUCCCAAGGGUUG
rnacentral:rRNA from 1 species